rnacentral:rRNA from 1 species
UACGUAGGGUCCAAGCGUUGUCCGGAAUUAUUGGGCGUAAAGAGCUCGUAGGCGGUGUGUCGCGUCGGAUGUGAAAGCCCGGGGCUUAACUUCGGGUCUGCAUUCGGUACGGGCAUGCUGGAGUUCGGUAGGGGAGACUGGAAUUCCUGGUGUAGCGGUGAAAUGCGCAGAUAUCAGGAGGAACACCGAUGGCGAAGGCAGGUCUCUGGGCAUUAACUGACGCUGAGGAGCGAAAGCAUGGGGAGCGAACAGG